UGUAGAAACUCAAAUACUCUUCCCGAGCGAACAUCCAUGUAAAGCAUACCUUUCUUCUCUUCUCAACCCAUUUUGACACGAAUUCUUGUUGACCAUCGACUGACAAACGUGGUGGUCCUCUUGCUCGAGUUCUUCGUCGAGUUAGCACUGCUGACGUGUUUGAGGCCAUACCUGAUGAAGUGUGGGUUUGUGGGUCUUCUGCAAGAGUUCUAGAUUUCAACCACAGUCCCAUUAAAAAUGUCCCUGUUAAAAUUGCAGGUCUUACUGGUCUAGAGAAACUAUUCAUUAAUGCAAAUGAGAUAGUGGAUGAAUCAAUUAGGUGGGAUGGACUAACAACUCUGAAGUACCUAACUAUAUUAUCAUUAAACCAUAACAAUUUAACUACUUUUCCACCAGCACUCGGAUCUCUUACCUCUUUAAGGGAGCUGCAUGCUUCCAAUAAUAAAUUGGGUGGCCUUCCAAAUGAAAUAGGACAGCUGACACAAUUAGAAGUUUUGCCAGCCAACAAUAAUAGAGCGAGCGAGCCAUAGAGAUUAAGUUUCAGAUACUUUUGCAACGAAGACGAGGGUUCGAAUCCGUAGAGAGAAAGCGAGCGAGUCAACCUGCUGCGAGAAAAUGAGAAGAAUGAGAAGAGGAUGGUUUUCCACGGAAUCUGAAAUAAUUUUGACAAAUGAAAAUGACCGGAGGUACUCGUAUUACGCAUGGAAUCUUUUAUGGGUAAUAAAUAUCUCAAAGAUUUGCUUCAUGGUCCAUCCUUUCAACAGUUUAACCCAAUUCAUUGAUGCGGGCUACAGGACAGAAUCUAUAUUAAGCCUUGAAGAAGCUGUUCACAAGUUUUUCUUAAUAAUGAUUUGGGGUGCACUAGUUAUCCUGAAUAGCAUUGGAACUGUCAUAGUCGCUUGGUCACUCCAUUUUUGUGUACCCUCCAAUAUAUUUUUGGGAGUUCUUACAUUGUGUUGCAUAUCGACUAUAUAUGAUGCAACGACCGGAUAUAUUGUCGAGGGGGGUUUAAUUGAAAUAUCAGCCUUUUUGGCUGUGGGUGGAGGGACCAUUGUCUUUUUUGUGCUUUUUAGUUUGAUAUUCAUAGGAAUUUUCAAAGUCAUCCGUCCUUAUGUCUGUUAGUGUAAAAGAAGUGGCCGCUAAACUUGUAAGUUUUGUAUCAACACCGAACUCCUUUUUGGAAGCUCUUAACACGUUCUUUUAUGACUUAGUUUCUAUGGCUUAA